rnacentral:lncRNA from 1 species
AGAACCCUUCCUAGAAGGUGGAAGCAUAGAUUAGGUGCUCUACAAAAGAAUUAUAUUUGUAUGUGACAUUUGAAAGUUCUAUUAAUAAAAUAAAAGGCUCUAAGCGUUGAAUUUGUUUUAUGAAUUCUCUUACACUUGAAAUUAUAUUAAAUAAAUUAUAACUCUAUUAUAUAUUUAUAAUUGCUAGAAUAUUUUAUUACAAGUCUUUUGUUUUAAUAUUUUAUAAUUCUUUACUUACUUUCCUAUUUUUCGUUUAAUUUUUAAAUUUAUUGAAUAAGUCAAAAAACUAGAUGUUGCAAACUUUAAAAACUUAGUCAUUGACAAAAGAAUAUACGUUGUCAAACUCAAUGCUUAAAUAAUUUUUUUAAAAAUGGCAAUAAAGGCCAGCGAACCCGUCCCGUCCCGUUUGUUAGCGGGAUGGGAUGGACCUACCGUCCGUCCCGGGAUGGGCCUACCGUUUCAUCCCGUUUGUCCCAUCCCACCACCGUCCCGUCCCGCUCCAUCCAGUUAAUUUUGUCCCGUCCCGUUGGACAGCCAUAGAAUACAUCAAAUGAUGAAAUCAAACCUGAAAUUAAAAUGGGAAAAAUUAACCAAUUUCUAAAUAGUAUUAUCUGAAGUUAAAAAAUAAUACUGUGAAACUAAAAUUGUAUCUAUACCAACGUUAAAUAUAAAAGGCUGAAUUUUCUCGAAGAUUGUGAGAUUGGUAACGCGCUUAAAAUACACUUUAGAACAAUUAACAUUUUAAAAAACGUAACUGAAAAGCUAAAGGUUAAUAAACGAAGCCUCAGAUAGUCGAUCAGACAUCAAUGUAAAUGUUCAGACGGUAAUUCCAUAUAUUUAUAAAUAAAUUCCUCAUUGGCUUCACUUCUCACCGAAUAAAUUUUUUAAAAACAAAAAAGAGAUAGUAUGUAAUCGCACAAAACGGCUCCGUGUGAGGAAUGAAAAAUCCAUCCACAGAUUCCUAUCAAAAUGCGAAACAUUAAUAAAAACUUGUUAUUGGUCCAAUCAUAGCAUCGUCGGUCAUUGCUUAUUUUUGCUACCGUCGACGUGGCAUCGGACCUUCUUUAAUCAGUAAUACACAAAAAAAACUUAAGAAAAUUAGGUAUGAAGAAAACCUCAGGGACCCGUUCCAAAUCACACAAACAGCUUCAGUGCAGAAUACCACAAAAUCCAGACCAUUGAACAGAGACUGGGUAGUAGCUGAGCAAUGGUGGAUGGGAAAAUGAGUGGAAACUGCGGCUGCCGCUGCUGUUUAAAGUGUCAUACGGCACUUCCUAUUCUUGGGAUGUCUUCCUCAUCGGCGUAAAUUAAUAAUUACAAAAUUCAGAACUUGAAAAACCCUAGCAGUGAUGUCAAAAACCCUAAGAAUAAAAUACGAAAUGGAACGACAAGUAGAGAAAACUGUGGAUGA